GGCGAUGUGGUGGAACGGUAUACACGUUGGUUUUAGAAACCAAUGCCGCAAGGCUUGAGAGUUCGAAUCUCUCCAUCGCUACCA
rnacentral:tRNA from 1 species